ACUCCUACCGGACGCAGGAGUAGGCAAUCUUCGGCAAUGGACGGAAGUCUGACCGAGCAACGCCGCGUGAGUGAAGUAGGUUUACGGAUCGUAAAGCACUGUUGAAACAGAAGAAGGAGUGUGAGAGUGGAAAGUUGACACUGUGACGGUAUCUUACCAGAAAGGGACGGCUAACUACGUGCCAGCAGCCGCGGUAAU
rnacentral:rRNA from 1 species